CCUACGGGUGGCAGCAGUGGGGAAUAUUGGGCAAUGGGCGCAAGCCUGACCCAGCAACGCCGCGUGAAGGAAGAAGGCCCUCGGAUUGUAAACUUCUUUUGUCAGGGACGAAGAAAGUGACGGUACCUGACGAAUAAGCCUCGGCUAACUACGUGCCAGCAGCCGCGGUAAUACGUAGGGGGCAAGCGUUAUCCGGAUUUACUGGGCGUAAAGGGCGUGUAGGCGGUUUUGCAAGUCAGAAGUGAAAUUCCAGGGCUCAACCUUGGACCUGCCUUUGAAACUGUUGGUCUUGAGUGCAGGAGAGGCAGGCGGAAUUCCGUGUGUAGCGGUGAAAUGCGUAGAUAUUAGGAGGAACACCAGUGGCGAAGGCGGCCUGCUGGACAUUAACUGACGCUGAGGCGCGAAAGCGUGGGGAGCAAACAGGAUUAGAUACCCUAGUAGUC
rnacentral:rRNA from 1 species